GCAUCAGACAGAUUCCAGAGCAGUUCAUUCAGCAGCUAGACUACGAGGUGAGUCUUCCUUCUAGUAGGAACGGGUCUACGGCCACAAUGCCGACCCGUUUAGUUAGCAGUAGUUCCGGACCUCGGUCCGAUGCAGUAGUUAGAUUGCUUGAUGUCUUUGUGAUUCAAGCAUGUUUUGUGUUAUGUGUUCCGGACCCUGGUCUGAUGCAGUAUGCAAUAUAUGUGUUCAUGCUAGUUGAUAUGUUUAUGCUAUGUUAUAUGCAGUCAGCUCCGGACUUCGGUCCGAUGUGUAACAGCACAAAAUCCAGGUUAGCUUUAUAACCUUUCUAUUUUGGAGAAUUGGCUAGUUAGUCCGUUAAAGUUAUGAUGUAAUGGGUGAGUACGUUGGGCGUACUAGGGUGUACGCCGCGCGUAGUCGCACGCUUAAUUUGUACGUGGGUCAUCCGGGUACGUUGGGCGUACCCAAGGUUACGCUGGGCAUAACCGGCCCAGAUGCAAAACCCUAAUUUGUGGCCUUGCGCUAUAAAAGGAACAUGUAGUCCUUUACCCUAGCCACCAUACACCCUUGAGAGAGCCCUUGAAGAGAUGAGAUUCAUGCUUUAGCUUGUGUGUGAGUUUUUGAGCUUGAAGUUGUCUUUUCAAGGUGAAGAAGGAGAAGAAGGAGCCAUUGUUGGAGCUAGAAGUUGAAGAACAAGUGUAGAUCCGAGUUCUACAGUGGUUGGAGAUCCUUCCUAAGGUAAAAAGCUCAAAGCUUUCCUUGUUCUUCAUAAGUUUUGCUUGUUGGACCAUUUUUAGGGUUUUUGGUUCAAAGUUGGAGACUUUAUGUGCAAAGAGUCUCCAUAAGCUUAGAUCUGACCUUUUUCUAGUGUAAUAUGUGUUGAGGAGUCAUAAAAAUCGAGUCUUGGACAUGGAUCUUGUGGCAUGCAUGAGUUAUAGUGUCAUUAUGGAAAGAGGAAAGGUGUUUUGAGCACAAUGUGACCUUUACAGCCUUGCAAACGCUUAAAGGUUCCAAAUUUAUGGUUUAAGACAUAUUAGAGGAGUCAGAUCUGAAGUUUGGAUGCAAGUCUUAACCGUUUAAGAGCUGAAUGUGCUGAACAAGGAAACUGGGCAUUACACCGGGCGUAAUCCCAGUACGCGCCGCGUAAGGGGUUGCGUACCCCGUUUCUGGAAUGCAAGAGUACGCCCCGCGUACAGGAGCUGGUACGCCCCGUGUACUGCUUGCUGUUGACUUUUUUGACUUUUAGGGUUUUAGUCAACAUGUGGACUAUUGGGUCAGGGAGGGGUAAAAAGGUUUUUUACCCUUCUGUGGAAUUUUAGAAGGAAUAUAGUAUAGCCUUGCGAGCCGUUAAUGAUUUAGAAUGAUUAUUUGAUGUGAUUAGGUGAGGCUAGGUCGAGGUUACGAGAUUCAGAGAUAUCGAGAACGUGAGACUUAGACAUCAUACGAGGUGAGUUUUCUCACUAUACUGUACCUGGAAGGGUACCUAUGUGUAACCGGAAGGUCUGGUAUGCUAUGUGAUAUAUGCAUCGUAUGAGUUGCCUUUUUCGUAUGCGCUAUGUAUGUGAUUUGUAUGCUAUGUUGAUAUGGGCCGGAAGGCAUUAUGAUGUGGACCGGAUGGUCAGAGAGUUAUGGACCGGAAGGUCGACACGGGUAAGACCGGAAGGUUUACCGGGUUGGGACGGAAGUCACCUGAGACACAUGGACCGGAAGGUCAUGGCCUGGAAGGGUGUAUGUGUGUAAGUGGUAUAUUGGGGAACUCACUAAGCAUUUAUGCUUACAGUUGUUGUGUUAUGUGUUUCAGGUACUAGCGAGGACCGUGGGAAGGCGCCAGAAUGACUCGUACACACUCCCACAGGCGGAUUUGGAUUUAGUUGAUCUUGGGAUUUGACAUGUUUUGUAUCAUGACUAUGUUACAUUGGAUUUUUAUGGUUGGUUUGGAAUGAAAUCAUGUUUUAAAGAAAUCAAAAAUUUGUAUUGAAAAUUUCGUUGUUACACGAUGUAGUUAGUUCCGGACUUCGGUCCGAUGCAGUUUCCGGACUUCGGCCCGAUGCAGAGGGCAAGUCCCUGGUUAGUUCCGGACUUUGGUCCGAUGCAGUUUCCGGGCUUCGGUCCGAUGCAGUGGGCAGGGCCCUAGUUAGUUUCCAGACUCCGGUCCGAUGCAGUUUCCGGACUUCCGUCCGAUGUACUAGGCAAGGCCCAAUAUGUGCUUUAUAUGUUAUUUUAUGGUAUGUGGUAGUUUGGGGGAGCUCACUAAGCUUCGUGCUUACAGUUUCAGUUUUGGUGUCAGGUACUUCUGAAAGUAAAGGGAAGAGUUUAGGAUGAUGGCAUCGCACACACCACAACUACAAUUUUUGUCCUGGGAGUUGAUUAGAUUUCCAUUGACAUGAUUUGAUACAGUCUUGAUACAGUUUUCUUGUGAUACUUUGUUAUGGUUUUGGAUACAUUGACUUAUGGGUUUUAUUUUAUGGGAUUGAUCUAAUGAUUUUAGUAACGAUUAAAGAAAAUUUUUUGGGUCAUAUUUUGAGAUGUUACAAGUUGGUAUCAGAGCCUUGGUUUGAAGGAUUCGGGCACACUUUCGGGUGUGUCUGAACUCAAACUAAGGAAGUGGUAAAACAUUUUCAAAAGAAAAGAGUUUUAGAAAAGUGAAAAGAGUUUUUUGAAAGAAAAGGAACUUUGAAACGAGAAAAGGGUGUAGUGCAUGCGAUUAGUCGAGCUCAAGUAAGUACUCCCAAAUUACCCAUACAAGUUUAUGUUAUCAGUUUCAGUUCAGUUUCAAUUUUAGUAGAACAGCAUGCUAGUAUAGGACUAAGGAUCUAGGAGGAUGCCUUAUGUGCCUGCUUUAUGUGUUUCAGCUUUAUGAGAAUUGCAUGCUAUUAUUAAGUAGACAGUAGUAAGAUAGCCUGGGUAGGUUAUGCCUGAUAGUAUGAGCUUAGCAUUGUAUGCUAGUGUAGAUUAGUCAGUAUGAUAGCCAGAGUGGUAUAUGCUUGAUUAUGUACUCAAUGCCCGAAUGCUGCUUGCUUUGUGCUUUUAGGGGUUCUAGUUGUCUUUCACUAACUAGUAAAUGAAUAUGUUAAGUUACAUAUUGCAAGGACUAAAUAAUUUUAGAAGGUUAGGUCUAGCUCUAUUUCGCAGCUCUCGUUUGAGUCCAACCGUUAUAGGGUAGGAUCUCUCAUUCGAAGAAUUAUCUAGUCUGAGUGAUAUGUAAUAGUAUUCGCGAGCUAGUUAGGGGAAGAAAGCAGGGACUUCUUAUGCAACUGAUGGCGGAGAAUGGGAUGGUGAUUACCCUAAGGCAAGCCUAGAAUGAGAGUAGCAGAUAUCAGUAGCAGUAGAGUGACUAGGUGGAGUCAAGGUAGCUAUUGAGGAAAGUACGGAUAGAUGUGGAAGGUAGUAUGGGCCCGUACUACGAAAAGCAGAGGAUCCGUACUCGAAUCAAGGAAGGAUGAGAUGAGACCGGGAAACUUGUAGUAGUAGUGAUCCCUUGAGAUGUUUCAGUGUUAUGACGUUUGCCAUGAUGUGUUUUCAGAAUGGUGGUUUUGUGACCUAGACUAGUAGCCGGCAGUUCAGGCGCCGGAGAGGGAUCGGGAUCAGGCUCGGGAGCCGAGCAUCUAGAUGAGCAGACUAGGGAGUUUCUUUCUUCAGAGAUCACUCGUAUCAUACUUGAGCAGACUCCUGUGAUCUUCGGUUCGAUCAAGGAGGGGAUCUUAGAGUUGAUGGAUGAGAGGUUGGGCACUUUCCGUGCCGAGGUGGCGGCCAUGAUGGGGUCGCGCAUGCUUACGUUCAAGGAGUUUCGGGCAUGUGGAGAUCCAGAUUAUCACGGGGCGCGGGACCCCAUAGCGAGCACUAUAUGGUUGGCAGAUGUGGCCAACGCUUUCCGCACUAGCAGGUGCCCCGAGGGGGACAAGGUCAAAUUGGCAUCCUAUCUCCUGAAGGUCAGGGCACGAGAUUGGUGGGAGGAGGUCGGACAUGUCAUCGGGGAUGACGUAGCUUUGGAUACCAUGACCUGGGCUGAUUUUACUACCAGGUUCAGGGCUGAGUUUGCACCGGUUAUUGAGGUGCAACAGUUAGCCAGGGAGUUUCAGGACCUCACCUAGACGACAGAGACAGUGGCGGAGAUCACCGCCAAGUUCAGGGAGAGGGCACUUCUCGUUCCUCAGUACGCAGCUGAUGAGGAAAUAAAGAAGGCCCGUUAUCAUGAGAUGCUGCAGAGUGAUAUCUGCCAGUUUAUGAGCCGGUCCAGCUGUAAAACGCUGGAUGACAUGAUUUCUAGGGCGAGAGAGAGAGAGAGAGAGAUUGACCUUGAGAUGGAGAGAAAGAGGAAGUCGGAGGCGGCUUUAGGUACAGGGAGUUUGGGCAAAAAGCCCAAGGUUUCAAAUCAUAGAGCUAGGAGUCAGCAGAGCCAUUGUCAGUGUGGCAAGUGUGGGAGAUUGCACGAUGGGGCGUGCAAGGCAGGGAGUGCCGGCUGCUACAAGUGCAGCCGGACUGGGCAUAUGAGAAGAGAUUGUACAGCCACUAAUACCGCCAUUGCGACAUCAGAUCUGAUUUGCUUCCAGUGCAAUCAGAUGGGAAAUAAAAAGUCCCGGUGUUCGGGUUUAGCUGCAGCAGGGAAGGUGGCAGCACCUGCCCCUGCUACUUUGAGGAUUACAGUCGGCCGUCAGGGCCGGGGUGAGACGUCGGUGGCGAAGAUUAGGGCUUUUCAGCUGACAGCAGAGGAGGCACGAGCGACUCCUAAUGUGGUGACGGGUAUGUAUUUUUCCCUUAUCUCUGCUUUUAUUAUUGAUUGUUACUUAUGGUUAUAUGUUUUGUAUAGGGUCGUUCUCAGUGAACGGCAUUUCAGCUACAGUAUUGUUUGAUUCGAGGGCUACCCGAUCGUUUGUUUCACUUGCGCUUAGCAAGAGGUUUAGUAGAGCUCCGGGGGAGCUGGAUUGUCCACUUGAGGUCGAGAUAGCAGAUGACAGGACCGUCAGGGUCGCGAGAGUACACAGAGGAUGUUCUCUACAGUUAUUCGAUGAGCAGUUUUUAGUGGACUUGGUCCCUAUUCCCCUGCGAGGGAAUAAAGUCAUAAUAGGCAUGGAUUGGAUGAGCCCCAAUGGGGCGAUGAUAGAUUGUGAACUGCAGUUAGUGAGGGUUCGCACUCCCAGUGGGGGAGAGUUAGUGAUUCAGGGCGAGAGGCCACAACGCGGACCAGUUCUUUGUUCAGCAGCGAGAGCGAAGCGUUACUUCCAGCAGGGUUGCGCAGGUUAUAUAGCCUAUGUUUUAGAUGCCCGGGAGAAGGGCAAGACGAUAGUUGAUAAUGUUCUGGUGGUGCGAGACUACCCGGAUGUAAUUCCAGAGGGUUUUCCUGGAAUACCUCCCGAGAGACAGGUCGAGUUCAAGAUUGACCUAAUUCCUGGUGCGACUCAGAUAGCCAAGACAACGUAUCGGUUGGUUCCCCCAGAGAUGCAGGAGUUGUCUACGCAGCUGCAGGAGCUGCUAGACAAGGGUUUUAUCAGGCCAAGCAGUUUGCCCUGGGGAGCGUCGAUUUUGUUUGUGAGGAAGAAGGACAGGUCGCACCGUAUGUGUAUAGAUUACCGGGAGUUGAAUAAGGUAACGGUGAAGAAUCGUUACCCACUUCCGAGGAUAUAUGAUUUGUUUGAUCAACUGCAGGGAGCGUCUUGGUUUUCCAAGAUCGAUUUACGCUUCGGGUAUCAUCAGAUGCGAGUCAUAGAUGAGGAUGUGCAGAAGACUGCUUUCAGGACCCGGUAUGGUCAUUAUGAGUUUGUGGUGAUGCCGUUUGGACUCACCAACGCUCCAGCCGCGUUCAUGGACCUCAUGAACCGCGUAUGCAGGCUGAUCCUGGAUUGAUCUGUGAUACUAUUCAUAGAUGAUAUCUUGGUGUACUCCAAGACUCAGGAGCAGCACGAGGAGCACCUGAGAGAGGUGCUAGAGAUUUUGAGGAGGGAGAGACUUUUCGCGAAGUUCUCCAAGUGCGAGUUCUGGUUGCGUGAGGUGCAGUUCCUUGGGCACCUCGUCAACCAGAAGGGAAUUCGGGUAGAUCUAGCCAAGAUAGAGGCCAUGAUGCAGUGGGAGGUCCCGAGGUCUCCAUCUGAGAUUCGGAGCUUCCUAGGUUUGGCAGGGUACUAGAGGAGAUUCAUUCAGGAUUUCUCCAAGAUAGAAGUACCGCUCACUCGACUGACUAAGAAGUCGGUGGUGUUUUGCUGGGGGUCUGAGCAGCAGGUAGCAUUUGAGACCCUUAGGCAGAGAUUAUGCGAGGCACCGAUCCUUACCCUGCCAGAAGGGGUAGAGGAUUUUGUAGUCUACUGUGAUGCUUCGAUCACAUGUAUGGGAGCAGUGUUGAUGCAGCGAGGCCGUGUGAUAGCUUACGCCUCGAGAUAGUUGAAGCCUCAUGAGGCUAACUAUCCUACACAUGAUUUAGAGCUGGGGGCAGUGGUGUUUGGCCUCAAGAUUUGGAGACAUUACCUCUAUGGGGUCGAUGUACAAUUUACAUGGAUCACAAGAGCUUGAGGUACCUCAUUGAUCAGCCGAAUCUGAACAUGAGGCAGAGGCGAUGGUUAGAUGUGUUGAAGGAUUACGACUGUGAGAUCCUUUAUCAUCCAGGAAAGGCCAACGUAGUGGCCGACGCCCUGAGCCGCUAGGCGGAAACGGCCCCGAUCAGAGAUAUUUGUUUGAGGAUGACAGUGAUUACUCCAUUGUUGGAGCAGAUCAGGGAGGCAUAGGUCGAAGGCCUCAAGGAGGAGAGGCAAAAGUGUGAGAGGAUUGUGGGCCGAGUAGCUUCCUUUGACUAUGACAGUCGAGGAUUGUUGACCCUUCAUGGGAGGGUUUGGGUACCGUACUGGGGCGGAGUACAACAAGUGCUGAUGGACGAGGCUCAUAAGUCUCGAUUUUUCAUCCACCCUGGGGCGAAGAAGAUGUAUAGAGAUCUUCGACCCGAUUACUGGUGGCCCUGCAUGAAGCGGGAUGUCGCCUGGUAUGUAGAGAGAUGCCUGACCUGCAGGAAGGUUAAGGCAGAGCACCAGAGGCCCCACGGCAAGAUGCAGCCGUUAGACAUUCCAGUGUGGAAAUGGGAGGAUAUCACCAUGGAUUUCAUCACUAAGCUUCCCAGGACCACACAUGGAGUGGAUUCUAUAUGGGUUAUAGUGGAUUGGUUGACAAAGAGUGCUCAUUUUAUACCGAUCUAGGAGAGCAUAUCAGAUGAGAAGCUAGCCGAUAUUUACGUGCGAGAGGUGGUGGCACGGCAUGGAGUGCCUGUUUCAGUAGUGUCAGACCGAGAUGUCCAUUUUACUUCCAGAUUCUGGAAGCGGUUUCAUGACGAGAUGGGUACUCGUCUCCAUUUAAGCACCGCUUUCCACCCUCAGACAGACGGGCAAAGCGAGAGAACGAUUCAGACUCUCGAGGACAUGCUUCGGGCAUGUGUCCUAGACUUCGGUGGCAGUUGGGAUACGUAUCUCCCGUUAGCGGAAUUUUCGUAUAACAACAGUUACCGUGUGAGUAUUGAUCGACCUCCCUUCGAGAUGCUCUACGGGAGGAAGUGCAGGACCCCGAUUUGUUGGGGUGAGGUCGGUCAGCGUGUCAUUGGGAGCACCAAAGUGGUGCUCAAGACGACUGAGUUGAUCCAGCAGGUUCGUAGUAGACUGUAGACUGCGUAGAGUCGGCAGAAGAGUUACGCCGACAGGAGGCGUUCAGACUUGGAGUUUCAGGUGGGCGACAUGGUCCUCCUGAAGGUAUCACCCUGGAAGGGUGUCAUCAGGUUUUGGAAAAGGGGCAAGCUGGGCGCCAGGUUCAUUGGACCUUUUAGGGUUUUGGCCCGGGUGGGUCGGGUUGCUUAUCGAUUGGAUCUCCUGACAGAACUCAGUCAGAUCCACAACACUUUCCAUGUUUCUCAGUUGCGGAAGUUUUUGGUGGACGAGUCAGCAGUUGUACCCUUAGAGGACAUUCAGGUUGAUAACAACCUGAAUUAUAUUGAGAGACCCGUAGCGAUCUUAGAUCGGAAGACGAAGACCUUGAGGAACAAGGUGGUUCAGUUGGUGAAGGUGCAGUGGUAGCACCGGAAGGGGUCUGAGAGGACGUGGAAGGCAGAGGAGGAGAUGAGGGAGCACUACCCAGAGUUGUUUCCAGAUGCAUCAGCAGCAGUCUUCGAGGACGAAGUCUGAGACAAGUGGGGGAGAGUUGUAACGCCCCAAAUUCUGAUAUGUUAUUUAAUUAUGUUUUUAGUCAAUUUUCAAGAGGAACUCGACGAGUCAGUAGUUUGACUCGUCGAGUAGAGACGGGUUUCCGAGCACGUGUAGUUAGGCGACUCGACGAGUCCAUAUUCGGGACUCGGUGAGUCCGCCAAUCUGGAAGAAACCCUAAAUCCACGGGUUUGUACCCUAUUUAAACAACUUUUUGGGCAUUCAUUAGCCCCCCUCUGUGACAUCACCAAUUUCACGGCCAGAAAAGACCGAUUUGUUUAUGCUUUGUUUUUAAAAUCAGAGUAAUCGUUUAACGAAAACGGUUGCGGAAUUUGUUCCCAAAACAAGAUAUGAUAAAAACUUAUCAAAACAUUUCUCAAAGAGAAUGUAUUUUCAUUAAAUAAUAAAACCUCGGGAUGUGAUGUUCCGAUACAGACACAUAAACAUAAACAGAACAUACAUUUAUUUACUCUAGGGAUUUACAUCUCCUUUAAUCUCUCAGUGCAAAGCAGCUUCGUAUCGAUACCUGUGAUACAAUUAAACUGAGUGGGUCAGGCUUUGGAGCCUGGUGAGCAUAUAGGGUUUUCAACCCACAAUAAUAUAAUUAUUAUAUUUAAUUAUCAAACAAUCAACCCAAUUACCCAUCCCCAUUAUCUUCCUUACUCUUAAGGGUCUACCCUAAGAAUCAUCUAUUCGUUCACUCCGUAUUAGGCACUAAGUUAAUAGCUGCCAGGAUUCUUUAUUAGGCACUAAGACAAUAGCUGCCAAGGUUCCUUCGUAAAGCACUAAUUCCAUAGCUGCUAUGGUUCAUUCAUCGGGUACUAAAUCCAUAGCUACCAGUGUAGGUACUAAGUCCAUAGCUACCAACGUUUAUCUAACAAUACUAAAUCCAUAGCUACCGGUAUAGGUACUAAGUCCAUAGCUACCAAUGUUUAUCUAACAGUACUAAAUCUAUAGCUACCAUCGUCUAUCUAACAGUACUAAAUCCAUAGCUACCAACGUUUGUCUAUACGGUACUAAAUCCAUAACUACCAAGGUUCAUCUAUACAGUACUAAAUCCAUAGCUACCAAGGUUCAUCUAUACAGUACUAAAUCCAUAGCUACCAAGGUUCAUCAUUCGUCUCAUACUCAAACUCAUCCGUCAUCACACACCAACUAAUUCGUCUACCCAUGUUCUACCUAACAUAUUUGUAGACAUAACAUACAUAUACAAUUUAACUCAUUUAAAACCUAUAUAAAACAUCCAUUUUACACUUAUCUCAAAUAAACGACAAUAUAUAUACACAUAACAUGUAUAUCGUAGCAAAUACUUAAUAUUUAUGUGUUAGAAGAAAGUAACUAUACACUCACACAUAUAAACAACACUAUAUGUACACAUAGCACGUAGUUUAUAAAAUACUUCAUAUCUAUGUGUAAGAUGAAAGUGACUAUACACUCACUUGAUUAGAAGAUGAUCGGACAGCACUACGACUUGCAGAAGUAGUAUUCUUCGGUAGAUCUGGAAGAUCUUCACAAAAACCGGGCUCCUCGCGGGCAGAGCUUCGGCUCGUGAAUUGCACUUCUCGGGAUCUUCGGGCUUCAGGACUCGAUUCGGGUCUCGGGAUGAUACUAGGGCUUCAGGGUUACUUCUUUGCAUGUAAAUCGAGGUAAUAUGGGUGAGAGAUGAGAGAAUGAGCAACCAAACUCGGCUGGCCCUUCAAACCUAUUUAUAGGGCAAAAUUGGCCCUUGCCAUGUCGUGACACCUUUUUCCACGUCGUGGGCUUGGUCAUCACUGCAUGCGUCAUCGCAAGUUGCAUCUGGGGGACUCCCGAAGGUGUCAGAAGACUGGCCACAUCAUGGCACUGCUUGCCACACCGUGGUAUCUGACAAUUUUGGGGUUUCGCGCCCCGAACUUUAGAAAUUCAUAACUGUCACAUACGAACUCCGUUUUCGACGUUCUUUAUAUCGACGCAAAGGUGAGAUUAUGCUCUACAACUCUCGUUUAGAAUCCGUUGGCUAAUUUUGACUUUAUUUUUAAUAUAUUACAAAUAUAUUACUUAUAUAUUAUUUUUAGUAAGCCAGGACAGGAAAAGUCCUUUCGAAAUUCAUAACUCCUUCAUCUGAACUCCGUUUUCGUUUGUCUUUUUAUCGUUGGACUACUAUCGAUGAGAUUUUCAAUUCUCAUUUAGAUUCUUUCGUCUAAAUAUCGCUCUAACGUAAAUUCACUAUUUACGUCGCGCUGGGUCGUGCCGGUUCUGUCGCGAAACUUCGACAGGUCAUAACUUCUUCGUUAUAACUCGGAUUUUGGCGUUCUUUAUAUGUAUGGAAUCCUUGUAACAUAUACUACAACUUAGUUAAGAUUAAUCCUUCUAAAUAAUAUCCCAUCAAAAAGUCAUUUUUGAUGCUUAUCGUCUCUAAAUUGACUAGCCCUGAUCUACGGGCGUUACACCCUCACCCACAGAAAAGCCUCACACAAAAACCCUAGCCUCCCUUAUCAUUUUGGUGUGAUUUUUCUCACUUUGUGAAGUUGUGAUUGAUUGGUGGAUUAUAAGAAGAGAAGAGAAGAGGAGGAAUCAUGGGAGAAGCAAGUAGAUCUGAGUUCUUGGUGAUAUCAUAGUCUUCAUUGAGGUAUUAGCCCUAAACCCUUAUCCUUCUUCAAGUAGAUCCCAUAAGUAGCUUGUUUUUUCCAUUUUGGCUUAAUAGUGUUAUGGAGAGCAUGUGGUGUCGAACAGCCUUCAGAUCUACCCAGAUUGGAGCUCUAGAAGCUCAGAUCUAUUGCCUUUAUGGAACCAUUUUGCAUGAGGACCCUAGAUCUACCCCUUUUAGUGCAUUUUGAGCCUUUAAACCUUUAUGGAUGCCUAUGUACACAUAAAGUUGGAAACUUUACGUGUUAAUCAAGCCUUAGGUACCCAGAUCUAUAAGUUGGAUGCACAGGAUUCGAACAGAAUCGAUUGUAUAAAAGUUGCAUGCAACCGACUCGGCGAGUCGUUCUUCGGACUCGGCAAGUCGAGUCGCAAGUCCCUGAUGUUUCUCUUUGUGAGUUAUGCCGAGUGGAACCAAUGGAUUGUAGAUGGACUCAGUGAGUCGGAGACCAGACUCAUUCAUGGAGGGACUCGGCGAGUCAAUGCCCUGACUCGGCGAGUCUAAGACAAUCUUCAUAUCUCAAGAACAGACUCGGCGAGUUGUUCAUACAACUCGACGAGUCACAGCCAGAGUGUCCAUCUGAUGAAGGAGAACUCGACGAGUUGUUCAUACAACUCGGCGAGUUGGAUGCAGAUUGACUGAAUGUUAGUAUCGAAGAGGAACUCGUCGAUUCUAUGCCCAACUCGACGAGUAGUAGCGGGCAGGAUUAAGAGUAGAGAAUAGGGACUCGACGAGUUGGCGGCCCAACUCGACGAGUCAGGACAACUGUAUGUUGACUUAGACCAGAGGGUUGACUUUGACUAGGGGUAAAAUAGUCAUUUUACCCUCAGUAUGGUUAUCAGUAAUUGAUUAAGUGUACUUAUGGAAAUUGUAGCCAGGGUGAAACCGGAGCCGCAUCAGACAGAUUCCAGAGCAGUUCAUUCAGCAGCUAGACUACGAGGUGAGUCUUCCUUCCAGUAGGAACGGGUCUACGGCCACAAUGCCGACCCGUUUAGUUAGCAGUAGUUUCGGACCUCAGUCCGAUGCAGUAGUUAGAUUGCUUGAUGUCUUUGUGAUUCAAGCAUGUUUUGUGUUAUGUGUUUCGGACCCUGGUCCGAUGCAGUAUGCAGUAUAUGUGUUCAUGCUAGUUGAUAUGUUUAUGCUAUGUUAUGUGCAGUCAGCUUCGGACUUCGGUCCGAUGCAGUUUCCGGACUUCGGUCCGAUGCAGAGGGCAAGGCCCUGAUUAGUUCCGGACUUCAGUCCGAUGCAGUUUCCGGGCUUCGGUCCGAUGCAGUGGGCAGGGCCCUGGUUAGUUUCCGGACUCCGGUCCGAUGCAGUUUCCGGACUUCGGUCCGAUGCAGUGGGCAAGGCCCAGUAUGUGCUUUAUAUGUUAUUGUAUGGUAUGUGGUAGUUUGGGGGAGCUCACUAAGCUUCGUGCUUACAGUUUCAGUUUUGGUUUCAGGUACUUCCGCAAGUAAAGGGAAGAGCUCGGGAUGAUGACAUUGCACACAUCACAGCUACAGUUUUUGUCCUGGGAGUUGAUUAGAUUUCCAUUGACAUGAUUUGAUACAGUUUUCUUGUGAUACUUUGUUAUGGUUUUGGAUACAUUGACUUAUGGGUUUUAUUUUAUGGGAUUGAUCUAAUGAUUUUAGUAAUGAUUAAACAAAAUUUUUUGGGUCGUAUUUUGAGAUGUUACACUCAUGAUCCCUCAAAAAGCCAUUAAUUGAGAUUAAAUCAAGUAAUGGAAAAGAAGCCCUAAUACCAACCAAUAAGUACUAUUGUUCCAAUGUCUCAUGCCUUAAAUAAUCUAACGAGCUAAGAACCCAAAAUCCACACACAAAUAUUGUUAGUAACUAAAUCAACAACCUUCAGAAAGCCCUAAAUAGAAAUAGUCAUUGUUUAUAGGCUUUUAUGGCUAACUAUUAAAAAAACUAUGUUGCUGUCGGGAGAAAAUUAAAAUACAUGUCUUCCAUAUUUGAAGAAUAGGGUUUUUUUGGAGAUGAAGAUUUCAUGGAAUCAAGAUUCAAAGGUGAACAUGACUUACUUCGAAUUAUGAAGUUUCAAGAAUUCUUUUCUUUUCUUAGACACAGUUUUGCGUGAUAUGGUAGUAUGCAUGUGGUGGCGUUGAUGGCUGAUGAAGAUGAGAGUUGAUGAUAGGAGAGAGUCAUGUGUUUUAAGAGAGAAAAGGAUUAGGAGACCGGCCACCAUUUUAAGGAAAACAUGGUUAUCAUAAAAAGGCUGUGAUUUUGCCAAGAUUUAUACAGAUCAAAUUGAAUGAAAUUUAAAAUAAUUAUUUUUUCAAUAACAAUAUUUUUUUUUUCAAAUUUCAUAAUACAUCGUGAAAAUGAAUAUAAAUAUUACCCUGAGAAAAAUCUGAAAGUAUCUUAAAAACGGAAAUGAUAUUUUGGAAGUGUGGAAUUUCGUAAAGCAUUUUAGUGGGAAAUGAAUGGUCAAC
rnacentral:lncRNA from 1 species